rnacentral:rRNA from 1 species
UACGUAGGUGGCAAGCGUUGUCCGGAAUUAUUGGGCGUAAAGCGCGCGCAGGCGGCCUUUUAAGUCUGAUGUGAAAGCCCACGGCUCAACCGUGGAAGGUCAUUGGAAACUGAAAGGCUUGAGUACAGAAGAGGAAAGCGGAAUUCCACGUGUAGCGGUGAAAUGCGUAGAGAUGUGGAGGAACACCAGUGGCGAAGGCGGCUUCUGGUCUGAUAACUGACGCUGAGGCGCGAAAGCGUGGGAGCAAACAGG